rnacentral:tRNA from 1 species
GACUCGUUCGUCUAGGGGCCUAGGACACCGCCCUUUCACGGCGGCAACACGGGUUCAAAUCCCGUACGAGUCA